ensembl:misc_RNA Metazoa_SRP Metazoan signal recognition particle RNA
GCUGGGUAUGGUGGUGCAUGCCUGUAGUCCCAGCUACUUAGGAGGCUGAGGUGGGAGGAUUGCUUGAGUCCAGGAAUGCCAGGCUACAGUGAGCAGAGAUCGUGCCGCUGCACUCUAGCCUGGGCCACAGAGUAAGAGCCUGUCUCAA